GGGGAAUAUUGCGCAAUGGGGGAAACCCUGACGCAGCAACGCCGCGUGAAGGAUGAAGGUUUUCGGAUCGUAAACUUCUUUGAUGAGGGAAGAAUAAUGACGGUACCUCAAAAACAAGCCACGGCUAACUACGUGCCAGCAGCCGCGGUAAUACGUAGGUGGCGAGCGUUGUCCGGAAUUACUGGGUGUAAAGGGCGUGUAGGCGGGAAUGCAAGUCAGAUGUGAAACUCCGGGGCUUAACCCCGGAACUGCAUCUGAAACUGUGUUUCUUGAGUGCUGGAGAGGAAAGCGGUAUUCCUAGUGUAGCGGUGAAAUGCGUAGAUAUUAGGAGGAACACCAGUGGCGAAGGCGGCUUUCUGGACAGUAACUGACGCUGAGGCGCGAAAGCGUGGGGAGCAAAC
rnacentral:rRNA from 1 species